GCCGGGAUGGCGGAACAGGCAGACGCACAGGACUUAAAAUCCUGCGGUUAGUUAUAACCGUACCGGUUCGAUUCCGGUUCCCGGCACCA
rnacentral:tRNA from 1 species